rnacentral:misc_RNA from 1 species
UCUCCGUAGGUGAACCUGCGGAGGGAUCAUUACAGAGUUCAUGCCCUACCGGGUAGAUCUCCCACCCUAUGUUAUUAUUACUUUGUUGCUUUGGCGGGCCGUUAGGCUCCGGCCCGACUACCGGCCCCGGCUGGUAAGCGCCCGCCAGAGGACCCAAAACCCUGAAUAUUAGUGUCGUCUGAGUACUAUAUAAUAGUUAAAACUUUCAACAACGGAUCUCUUGGUUCUGGCAUCGAUGAAGAACGCGC